UACGUAGGGGGCUAGCGUUGUCCGGAAUCAUUGGGCGUAAAGAGCGUGUAGGCGGCUUGGUAAGUCCGCUGUGAAAGUCCAGGGCUCAACCCUGGAAUGCCAGUGGAUACUGUCAAGCUAGAGUCCGGAAGAGGCGAGUGGAAUUCCUGGUGUAGCGGUGAAAUGCGCAGAUAUCAGGAGGAACACCAAUGGCGAAGGCAGCUCGCUGGGACGGUACUGACGCUGAGACGCGAAAGCGUGGGUAGCAAACAGG
rnacentral:rRNA from 1 species